UUGAGCAUCAAACUUUUAAAUUGAAGAGUUUGAUCAUGGCUCAGAUUGAACGCUGGCGGCAGGCCUAACACAUGCAAGUCGAACGGUAACAGGAAGAAGCUUGCUUCUUUGCUGACGAGUGGCGGACGGGUGAGUAAUGUCUGGGAAACUGCCUGAUGGAGGGGGAUAACUACUGGAAACGGUAGCUAA
rnacentral:rRNA from 1 species